UCGUAAUCACAGAUGCGCAGCACGAGCAAUUACUCUCAUACUUCGCUGGUGCGCCAGCACGACUAAUGUUAUCUGUAGUCUGAUUCGUAAUCUGUCGCCGAGUUCGCUCGUAUUGAGAACAAGAUACGAAGGAUACAGUAUGAUACAGUAGUUGCAGCGCGAGGUAGUUGGAGAGGUGCGUCGAUACGGUCUAUGCCGACCGCAGCGGUCGACUACGCGUUCGUACGUCGCGAGAACGUACUUUCCGCAAGGUUAGACUGGUACUAGGUACUAACACGCCGAGAUUGACACUCAGGGUUCGACAAUCAUCCACGCACAGCGGCUCGUUCGCCCGACGACGAGAUGGAUAGCAAAGUGGACGACGAAAAUCAGCGUAGCAUCAAUGAGGGCGAUUGGGUCUGCCCUGAUUCUCAAUGUGCCAAUAUAAAUUUUGCCAGACGGAACUCCUGUAAUCGCUGCGGCAAAGACAGAGGUGAAUGUCCAAAGAAGAAAAAGUUAGGCCAAGAGAUUGGAAAAGCAGCUGCUGAGAAGAGCAGAGGUCUUUUUAGCGCGGAUGACUGGCAAUGUAGUAAAUGUGGUAAUGUAAAUUGGGCCCGCCGGCAACAAUGUAAUAUGUGUAAUGCGCCGAAGUUUGGUGAGAUAGAGGAGCGCACAGGGUACGGAGGUGGAUAUAACGAUCGAGGAGUCGUCGAGUAUAAGGAAAGACGAGACGAGGACGACGAAUACGACGAGUUUGGACGGCGCAAGAAAAAACGGAAACUCGAGAAAAACUCUGACGAUGAUUCCAAGGAUUCCAAGUACAGCAGUCCGUCUCGUAGUAAAUCCAGAAAUAAAGAGGAAAGGGGCAAGGAAAGGGAUAAGGAGGAGCAAGAGGAAAACGAGGACGAAGAGGAUGAUGAGGAAGAGGACGGUGACUUGUCCAAGUACGAUCUCAGUGAGUGGGAUGAUUUAGCGCCAGUCAAGAAAAGCACGAAUGGAAGUACCAUAUCGUUGGAAGUGCAACGGUCAAGGUAAUUAAUAGUGAAAUGGAGAUGAUCGGCGCGGUUCAGGCACGUCCAACCAAUGAAAGAAGCUGUACAGAAGGACAGGUGAACAGGAGAUUCGAAGGGACGUAACCAGCAACUCUCUCGGCAACUAAGAGAUAUACACGACGCAACAAGUUUUAGUAAUUUAGUGUGCACCUUUGAAUAUAAAGUGGCCGAUAAAUACGAUAUGACUUACUACAAACGAAAGUCCACUAACACGAUAAGCUUUACAUUUAUAAUUGAGCUGAUAGCUUCGUUGAUCCCGAGGAGGCAGGUUCACACAUCUUGCCUCCUCAGGAGUGUCUUCUAUUCGCGCGAAUAUAUCGUUAUUAUUCCAAAUGGUUGCAAAGAGUUUACGGGAAACACCUCGGCGCAAGUAGUGUUUCGCUAGUGAAAUAUAACGGUGGAAAUGCUCGACGAUUUCCAACCGGAAUCUAUAGAAGAAAUUGUACACAGCUCGUUUUACAGGCUAAACAUGAUAUUGUAGAAAAAGAUCUUACUCCUACGUAAAACAGAUCAUCAACGUUCUGCGCAAGCAAGAUCGUCGCAGUGCUCUAAAACUCCUAUUACGUUGUUACGAGUCCAUGUCGGUAUAGCUGUGUCACUGCUUCACGUAUUGCUCAAGUUAUCGGAAGAGAAAUUUAAUUUUCCUCUUCUUCCCUUUUGUUCUCUUAUUACGUCUCUGCAUCUUUAUUCAUCUAUUUGAAAUUAAGUACGGAACGUAGCGUUUGGGAAAACAUUUCCCAAACAAAACAAAUUUAUAUAUUGACCUCUUUUUCUUGGGAAAGAAGGAUCGAGGAAGCAAAAGAAUAUACGUUUGCUCGCUUCGGUUUAUCACAGAUUUGAAUAAAUUGGAGUAACAGCCUGUCGUUUCGAAAAAACGUAGCGCAAGAUUGAACGCGAUUUCUUUCACGUGGACGUGAAUUUGUCUCAUAUACACCGACGAUCGUUCUUGAAUUGCAAAACGAUUAUCGAUCAAAUAUCGUACUGACUUCUUGUAAAUAUCUUUAUUUUUCAUUUAUAAUAAAAAUCAUUCAUCAAC
rnacentral:misc_RNA from 1 species